CCUACGGGAGGCAGCAGUGGGGAAUCUUGCACAAUGGGCGAAAGCCUGAUGCAGCGAUGCCGCGUGAGUGAAGAAGGCCUUUGGGUUGUAAAGCUCUUUUGUCGGGAAAGAUAAUGACUGUACCCGAAGAAUAAGGUCCGGCUAACUUCGUGCCAGCAGCCGCGGUAAUACGAAGGGACCUAGCGUAGUUCGGAAUUACUGGGCGUAAAGAGUAUGUAGGCGGCUAGAUAAGUUAAUUGUGAAAGCCCAAAGCUUAACUUUGGAAUUGCAAUUAAAACUAUUUAGCUGGAGUAUGAUAGAGGAAAGCGGAAUACAUAGUGUAGAGGUGAGAUUCGUAGAUAUUAUGUAGAACACCAGUUGCGAAGGCGGCUUUCUGGAUCAUUACUGACGCUGAGAUACGAAAGUAUGGGUAGCGAAGAGGAUUAGAUACCCUCGUAGUCCAUACCAUAAACGAUGAUUAUUAGAUGUGGGGAAUUAUUUCUCUGUAUCAUAGCUAACGCGUUAAAUAAUCCGCCUGGGGAGUACGACCGCAAGGUUAAAACUCAAAGGAAUUGACGG
rnacentral:rRNA from 1 species